rnacentral:rRNA from 1 species
UACGAGGGAGGCGAGCGUUGUUCGGAAUUACUGGGCGUAAAGGGCGCGUAGGCGGCCCGCUAAGUCGAACGUGAAAUCCCCAGGCUCAACCUGGGAACUGCGUCCGAUACUGGCAGGCUUGAAUCCGGGAGAGGGAUGUGGAAUUCCAGGUGUAGCGGUGAAAUGCGUAGAUAUCUGGAGGAACACCGGUGGCGAAGGCGGCAUCCUGGACCGACACUGACGCUGAGGAGCGAAAGCCAGGGGAGCAAACGGGG